rnacentral:tRNA from 1 species
UUCGUAGCUCAGCUGGUAGAGCAGCAGACUCUUAAUCUGUUUGUCGGGGGUUCGAUCCCCCCCGGAC